CAAAAUGGGAGGUAAAUUUCUCCUAAGGCUAAAUAUUGGCGAGAGACCGAUAGCGAACAAGUACCGUGAGGGAAAGAUGAAAAGAACUUUGAAAAGAGAGUUAAACAGUACGUGAAAUUGUUGAAAGGGAAACGAUUGAAGUCAGUCAUACCAACGGGAAAUCAACCUUUUGAGCUCGGUCUCGUGGGUUUUGAAGAGUUUCAAAGCCUUCGGAUUCGCGGGAUUGGGAUCUCUUGGCGUACUUUUUCGUACGGUUAGUCAACAUCGGUUUUGAAUGUCAUAAAAUGACUGGAGGAAUGUAGCUUCGAUCUCGUAUUGAAGUGUUAUAGCCUUUGGUAGAUGUGAUGUUUGAGACCGAGGAUUGCAACGGUUACCCUUCAGGGCUAUUCGUCUGAUCUCUGAUACGUUGCCUUGAUGUUGAAAGCUUGCUUAUGAUGUUAGGGUAUUACGGUCACAAGGUUAGAACGAAUUACA
rnacentral:rRNA from 1 species